rnacentral:rRNA from 1 species
CAGCAGCCGCGGGAAUACGGAGGGUGCAAGCGUUAAUCGGAAUUACUGGGCGUAAAGCGUGCGUAGGUGGUGGUUUAAGUCCGUUGUGAAAGCCCUGGGCUCAACCUGGGAAUUGCAGUGGAUACUGGGUCACUAGAGUGUGGUAGAGGAUAGUGGAAUUUCCGGUGUAGCAGUGAAAUGCGUAGAGAUCGGAAGGAACAUCUGUGGCGAAGGCGACUAUCUGGGCCAACACUGACACUGAGGCACGAAAGCGUGGGGAGCAAACAGGAUUAGAUACCCCUGUAGUCCCUGUCUCUUAUAA